rfam:Propionibacterium acidifaciens F0233 ctg1127964738367, whole genome shotgun sequence.
CUCGGUCCUCGGUGGUGGAUCCCGGGCCCGUCCCGGCGUCCUCGAUCGAAGACCGGU